rnacentral:rRNA from 1 species
CGGAGGAAAAGAAACCAACAGGGAUUGCCUCAGUAACGGCGAGUGAAGCGGCAAAAGCUCAAAUUUGAAAUCCCCCCGGGGAAUUGUAAUUUGAAGAUUGUGUUUUGGAAACGACCGUGUCUAUGUUCCUUGGAACAGGACGUCACAGAGGGUGAGAAUCCCGUGCGGCACGGCCACCGUUUCCUUAUAAAACACUCUCGACGAGUCGAGUUGUUUGGGAAUGCAGCUCAAAGUGGGUGGUAAAUUCCAUCUAAAGCUAAAUACAGGCGAGAGACCGAUAGCGAACAAGUACAGUGAUGGAAAGAUGAAAAGCACUUUGAAAAGAGAGUGAAACAGUACGUGAAAUUGUUGAAAGGGAAGGGCAUGCCGUCAGAUUGUCAGUGUGGGUAAGAAGCGGGGUACAAAGACUGUGGAACGUGGCCCUCGGGUGUUAUAGCCACAGUUCAUCCCCCGUCUCUUUCCGAGGCCUGCUUUGAGGACACCGACGUAAUGACGGUACGCCGCCCGUCUUGAAA